CACAGCUUUAUUGAAGCAGAGAGUCGUGGUCCCAUCAUCAGGGUUGCCUAGUAACCGGUCUACGCCACACCACAGAGUUUCAGAAUGGGCUGGACCACACACAAGUACCCAUUUUGGGGGAUUUCCAGUGGCAGUCCUACUCUCACUCCAUCACAUCACUUCUAAAAUCUGAGUCACAUGGUUCAAAUUUCACAGUACAAAGUGUGUUCUUGAGAUCUGGGGUUCUCUCCAAAAUGGAUAAUCAUUAUUGGUUUUGUAAUGCAAUGCCAAGACCAUCAAUAAGUCUGCAAAUUUAGAUACUGAGAUUCAAUACUUCUUGCCUGAACUCCCAGAGUCGCCAGUCGACAAAGGCUUAUUAAAAACCUCG
ensembl:lncRNA